ensembl:lncRNA
GGUCAGUGUGCUCGGAAUCCACUUACCAGAACUUUGUGCGUCUGCCAGAUUUGAUUUCAGACUUACUUCUUUGAACUGUCAAAUAGAUGAUAUAUCUAUAAUAUAAUGGUGCAAACUUAAGGCACUGAUGGAACAGAUGAGCCACAAGCUGCCAGCUUCCACACUGGCGCUCUUCAUUCCUUCACGUGAGUAACGGCAUCCUGCCUGAGCGGGUACAGGCGGGAUGUUUUCUGUAACGGCGUCAUCCUCCUGUCCUCCCGCAUCUUCAGGACGCCUGGCUACGCCCUCAGUGGGGGGGGUCAAAGAGUCGGCGACUCCCCACGGCGCCAACGGGAGGACUGCUGAGCGCUGCAUUCCUCAGUCGUGAGUCGGGCUGUUGGAUGCCGUCCACUUGUCAGAUUCGGAUCAAAAGGGAGACGGGGAGGACAGCUGAUUGACAGUAAUUGUGAAGGAGGACGACGCUUCAGCCAUCGCUCUCUGCGUCAUCAAGCACUUCCACUGAAAGGAGUUUCAUUUUGGAUGAACGAUUAACCAAAUGCCAAACGGCCACCGACAUAACAUGGAGAACACGGCGAAACGAUCACAAGGUCCACUCGCAAUUCUGCAGUUCUUCAUCUAUUCUCAGUUUAACCUUUAACGUCAGGCCGUACCUUUCUAUGGGAGGAGAAGCUUGAAUUCAAUACAUUCAAGGGGUUUUGGUGCCUCAGCUCUAAGUGGUCUGGUGUGGCGAGUGGCUGAUGUUAGCAGGUUUAGUUAGAUGUUCCUCUGGAGGGCACUUCCCUCGCCGUGUGGCCCCUUUUCCACCUCUAGUCGGUCAGUUUGCCAACGGUUGUGUCUUUAAAGCUCAAGAUCAAGAACCUUAUUCGAUGCCGUGUUGUUCUGUAACUGCCAAUCGUAGUCUGUGGGGCAACGCUGUGAGCCGCUUUAUUUACCUCGUUCACCUGUUGAGUCCAAAUGAACGCGGCGCUUUCAGAUGGCGGCGGCCAUCAUCUCUAAAGGUGGUCACCUGAUGCAUCGUUUCUUCGUACUUAUUCCACAGUUUAUCCAAAUGUUUUUACACGAUCAACGCGUCUGUGAGUUUCCCGCGUUGCGUAACCCACCCAGAGCUUUCCACGCUCUCAGGUGGUCUCUCAACUCGUACUAAAGCUCACAGCUUCAUUGUUCUUUAAUUUAUAUCUACAAAUGUACAACGUCUAGUAAACUCUCUGAUGGUAACACAAUAAGUUCUACUUGUUUUUCAAAUUUUGGGGGUUUAAGUUUUGUGGAGUCUUUCUUUAGGACUCCACUUCAUUAUUUAGUCUUAAUUGGACUUAAAAUACCAGCGAAGCAGCUAAAGUAGAAGAACUGAAAUGAUAAGUGGAAAACAGAGAACAUGGAAGCUGCACUAAGGUAGAGCGAGGGAGAGAGAGAGGGAGAG